CUCAUUUUUCUACUGCUCGUGGUAAGUGGCUUCGUGGUCUUUAUAGCUGUUACUCUUUUGUACUUUGUCUUUUUCUUUUAUUUUCUUUUGAGCGAUUGUGCGAACAUAGCAUAGCACGCACUAUGCCUUCUGUGUUGUAGCUGCCUGGCCAGGGCGACUGGCGGAUAAGGUCUUGUGCGUGGCCUCGAGGCUUAAAAGUAGCAGUGGGGCUUUGUGAAGGACAAAAUGGCGAUGGCGGGCCGUGUAGGUCCCCCUUCCUAUGAUGAGGACCUUUUCACAGACCUGUACUGAGCUCCGUGAGGAUAAAUAACUCUGAGGAGAUGGGCCCUGCAAGCCUCUUGCUUAGCCGUCUGUUCAGAAAAUAGCGUUUUCGAAAUGCCCUGAGUUGACCUAAUGUCUUAUUGGGCUCCUGUCUGCAGGAUUUACGCGCACGUUGGAACCGAAGAGAGCUCUGUUGUUGCAAUGUUCAGCCCACAAGAGCUUACUGGUGAAGGAAUGGGACAAGACCCAUCUUUAUGCAAAGCCAGCGUUACAGUAAUGUUCCAGCAUCUCAUAAUCUAUCCUGGGGAAUUCAGCUGCCUCCCAGGGUGAAUACAGGUAUUCCUGAUGACAGUCUGCCUCUAUCUUACAGAGCAGCUUGUUGCUAUAUACCAUUGAAAAGCCUUCAGAGCUGAGAGGUACUACUAACCAAUAACCUGCUUGGCUCAAAGGGCCAGCACCUUCUCUCUAAAGCCCAAGAGGAGUUUGAGGAAAACUAGGUGUCUGUGUUCACUCCAGGCUGAAGUUACAGGUCUGAGCAAAUAAGGUGUAUAAAAAAUGGAAUCUGUCUUGGAGGACAUCAGAAGGUGAAUUUUCCAAGUUCUUGGACAACCUAGCUGUUGAAAAGCUUUCUGGGUUUGGGGGGUAUUUCAGAUGUACCUUAAAGUGUUAGCAGACACAGAUUAAGACACUGGGAGCCAAUGAAACAGCAGUUGAGGGUUUGCUGUGUAUCACAUUUCUGUAUUUUAUCACCCCCUUCCUGCAACAUUAUUUAUCUGGAAUCUACCUGCCCUUUUGUUUUUUAGAUACAAGGGCUUGGUUUUGUUACCCAGGCUGGUUUCAAGGCCAUAGCUUUAAGAGAUCCUCUCACCACAGAUUUCCAAAGUGCUGGGAUUGCAGGUGUGAUUCAUGGCACCCAGACUUUGCUGCCUUUCUUACAUGAUCCAGGCCCAGAACCCAAACUCAGGCACUGUAUAGAUGACCACUUUCGUAAACUACUGACCUAGCUUGUUGCCAAUUGUUGAUUGAACUUCCCAUAACUCCACUUCGUGUCUGUUCCUCUGUAUACAGCCACCUUCUGUUCCCGUCAUGAGCCUUUAGGUCUCCAUUUGCAUAUUGCAAAUACUAUGUUCCAUGUAGGUAGCUCAUUCAGGGCCUUGCUCUUCACUUCAAAAAAGGUUCCCUUGAGGACUGGCUGUCAAUUUGUGUUGCUGUGUUGGUUGUUGAUGAAAAUAAUAAAAUGAUUGAUUACAUA
rnacentral:lncRNA from 10 species